CAUGCCUGCGCCAAUGGUUGAAAGGCUCGAAUGGUAGGAGCCAGGGUGGUAGGUUCCUUAGGUUCACCCUGCUGGCUCCAGAAUUGAUUUCUCUCCGCAGUUACAGUUCCCCCCUGGAAUAGGGAUGGUGUGAUGCUCAUAUGUCAUUUGGGCCGGGAGGCGGGGGGCGAGUGGUUGAAUCUUACACCUUCUUGAGCGAAGGUUCGGUGGUAUGGUACCAGAUACAUGAGGGGGUGUGGCUCCUCCCCAUCCUGGGUCAGCUGUCCCGUCUCCUGGGGGUUUUGUCAUCCAUCUGGGUGGAAUGACC